AUUUUCUGCCCUAUCAAAAGGCCAAGGCAGUUUAUUUAACCAAUGAAAUCAACACAAAACAGAAGACCCUCCUACAUCAUUCUGUCAGCUAUCUCGCCACUCUGAUGCUCGUCCCCUUUGCGGUGCAGACACUCCUCGAUUUCAUGCCAACAACCCAAGUUUGGAAAAGCUGAUUCCUAUGAAAAACUGGAGAAACUAGGAGAAGGACUUUAUGCAACAAUCUAAAAAGGGAGAAGCAAGUAAGUUAAAUAUUUUAAAGAACAAGUCAAGGGAGAGAGAGAGGGCAGCUGAGGCCUCAGAGAAUGGCAGCGGUCGGUGGCUCUGGUGCUGCAUCGCGCCUCAGGCUGGGAAGUUGUCGCUCAAGUCUCCCGCUGCCACCUGUGCUGCGGCCUCGCGGCUCUGCCUUACAAAGGAGGGCAAAUGAGCCUGCCCUUGUCUGGGCUGAGCUCUGGACCACUUUCACAAAGUUGACUGGACCCAGCGCCACCCAGAUGUAUGACCUCAUUGAGCCGCAGCCGUGCCAGAAGAUCCGCAGGAUGAAGAACUUUGUCAGAGAGUUUCAGCAGCAUUGCUCUGUCUGGCCCACCUCAAGCUGUGACACACCUCCUUCCCGGAAUGGUUAGCGACUUCAGUCCACACCUACCACUACCCUGUACUAGCC